rfam:Asian citrus Psyllid, Diaphorina citri - Florida Strain, whole genome shotgun sequence.
GCCUAGUUAGCUUAGUUGGUAGUGCGUCUGCCUUGUGAGCGCUAGGCCGCGGGUUCGAUUCCCGCUCGGGGCG